rnacentral:rRNA from 1 species
GACGAACGCUGGCGGCGUGCUUAACACAUGCAAGUCGAACGAAGUGGCGAACGGGUGAGUAAUGUAUAGCUAAUCUGCCCUACACUAGAGGACAACAGUUGGAAACGGCUGCUAAUACUCUAUAGUGUAGGAUGAGGCUAUAUUGUAUCAGCUAGUUGGUGAGGUAAUGGCUCACCAAGGCUAUGACGCAUAACUGGUCUGAGAGGAUGAUCAGCAACCCUGGAACUGAGACACGGUCCAGACUCCUACGGGAAGCAGCAGUAGGGAAUAUCGCUCAAUGGGGGAAACCCUGAAGCAGCAACGCGGCGUGGAGGAUGACACUUUUCGGAGCGUAAACUCCUUUUGUUAGGGAAGCGGUACCUAACGAAUAAGCACCGGCUAACUCCGUGCCAGCAGCCGCGGUAAUAC